rnacentral:lncRNA from 1 species
AUCAUGGCAAAACUCAGGUCAUCUCACUAUGGGAUCUCAUUGGUACAGAAAAUCUAAUGGCACUAAUUUAAUCAAGGUAUUUCAGACAUAGCAAGCACAAGCCACCCGAUAGGUAUAGACUCUCAGAAUCUCUGAGUCUGUUCAUAAGACUGUGUGCUUCUACAUGAUGUUGAAGAACUCAGCUCAGAGUGAAGACCAACAUCAAUGGCAAGGUCUUGGGCACACACCUCUGCUUGGAGAUGGGUGGAGUCUACCUUACACUUUUGCUGUAUUUGAUUCCUCCGCCUCAUGGGCUGCUCAGUAUCAAGAUCUGCUUAUUCAACCCUCUGUAUCAGAGACUAUUUUUUCACUUAUACAUGCAUGACAAAGGCCUGCCUGCUUCCUUGGUUGGACUCAAUGAGUGUAUGCUCAAUGGAACCAUCACUGUCCAGAAUUUAUAUUUCAAAUUUUCUAACUAUUGUGGUCCUACUCUUGCGUUGAUCAUUGA